rnacentral:rRNA from 1 species
UAAAGCAAGAAAGGGCGUAUGGGGAAUGCCUAGGCACACUCCGGCGAAGAAGGACGCAGCAAACAGCGAAAUGCGACGGUGAGCGGUAAGCACGUGAAGAGCCGUCGAUAUCCGAAUGGGGGAACCCACACGGAGUCAUAUCCGUGUAUCACAUGUCGAAUACAUAGACAUGAUGAGGCGAGACGCAGGGAACUGAAACAUCUAAGUACCUGCAGGAAGAGAAAAUAAGAAUGAUUUUCUGAGUAGCGGCGAGCGAAAGGGAAAGAGCCCAAACCGAUCUUAGGAUCGGGGUAGUAGGAUCAUCGAGAAAUCUGACAGAGGAUCAUAGAGGAAUCACAUGGGAAGGUGAGCGAGAGAGGGUGAGAGCCCCGUACUCGAAAUGAGAGACUGGAGAGAGAUGACACCUGAGUAGGGCGGGACACGAGAAAUCCUGUCUGAAUCGGCCGGGACCAUCCGGCAAGGCUAAAUACGAGAGAGUGACCGAUAGUGAACCAGUACCGUGAGGGAAAGGUGAAAAGAACCCCGGGAGGGGAGUGAAAGAGAACCUGAAACCAUAUGCCUACAAGAAGUCAGAGCCCGUUAAAGGGUGAUGGCGUGCCUUUUGUAGAAUGAACCGGCGAGUUACUGUAUGGAGCGAGGUUAAGCAGGAUAUGCGGAGCCGAAGCGAAAGCGAGUCUUAAGAGGGCGAGAGUUGCAUGCAGUAGACCCGAAACCGGGUGAUCUAGCCAUGACCAGGUUGAAGUUGGGGUAAAACCCGAUGGAGGACCGAACCGACCCCCGUUGAAACGUUGGCGGAUGAGUUGUGGCUAGGGGUGAAAUUCCAAUCGAACCCGGAGAUAGCUGGUUCUCCCCGAAAUAGCUUUAGGGCUAGCGUCGAGGUAAGUUGCGUGAAGGUAGAGCACUGAAUAUGUGAUGGCCCCAUCUCGGGGUACUGAGCAUAAUCAAACUGCGAAUGUCACGCCAACAUGCUCGGCAGUCAGACAGCGGGUGAUAAGGUCCGUUGUCAAGAGGGAAACAGCCCAGACCAUCAGCUAAGGUCCCAAAGUGCAUGCUAAGUGGAAAAGGAAGUGGAGACGUGCAGACAACUAGGAGGUUGGCUCAGAAGCAGCCAUCCUUCAAAGAGUGCGUAACAGCUCACUAGUCGAGUAUCUCUGCGCCGAAAAUUAACCGGGGCUAAGCAUAGUACCGAAUCUAUGGAUUUAUAUUUCGAAUAUAAGUGGUAGGGGAGCGUUCCAAACAGCAUAGAAGGCAUACCGAAAGGAGUGCUGGAGCGUUUGGAAGUGAGAAUGCCGGUGUGAGUAGCGAGAUGUAGGUGAGAAUCCUACACACCGAUAGACCAAGGUUUCCAGGGGAAGGUUCGUCCGCCCAGGGUUAGUCGGGAGCUAAGGCGAGGCCGUAAGGAGUAGUCGAUGCACAACGGGUUAAUAAUCCCGUACCGGCUUGGUAAUGUUUGAGUUGCAUAUUGACGGAUGAGUGGAUGCUGGCGAGGUGAUGAACGUCCUCGUCUAAGGUGUUGUAAGGCACUGAUGGGACUUUGAGGCUACGGCCGAGGGGGAUCAGCAAUAGCUAAUUCCAGGAAAAUUUAUGCAAUUAAUUAUCAGGUUGCCCGUACCGCAAACCGACACAGGUAUCCGGGAUGAGUAUUCUAAGGCGCGUGAGUUAAAUCUCUCCAAGGAACUCGGCAAAAUGGCCCCGUAUCUUCGGUAGAAGGGGUGCCAACGCGAGUUGGUCUCAGUAAAGAGGCCCAACCGACUGUUUAUCAAAAACACAGCUCUCUGCCAAGUCGCAAGACAACGUAUAGGGAGUGACAUGUGACCAAUGCGGAAAGGUGAAAACUGCUUGUGAAAGCUUGUGGUCUAAGCCCCCGUGAAUGUCGGCCGUAACUAUAACGGUCCUAAGGUAGCGAAAUUCCUUGUCGGGUAAGUUCCGACCUGCACGAAUCAUGUAACGAGUUGGGUGCUGUCUCAGGGAGAAGCUCAGUGAAAUUGUAGUCGCGGUUAAGAUGCCGCGUACCCGCAGAAGGACGGAAAGACCCUAUGAACCUUUACUGUAAACUGAUAUUGUCGUUUGAUUUUUAAUACGUAGGAUAGCCGGGAGGCUAUGAGUUGUCACUCCAGGGUGAUGAUGAGCCGCAAUGUGAAAUACCGGUUUUUAACUAUUAGGCGUCUAACCACAUACCGUGAGCCGGUUGUGGGACAGUGUUAGUGGGUCAGUUUGACUGGGGCGGUCUCCUCCUAAAAAGUAACGGAGGACUGCGAAGGUUCCCUCAGACCGGAUGGUAAUCGGUCGUCGAGGAUAUGGCUAAAAGGGAGCUUAACUGUGAGACCUACAAGUCGAGCAGAUGGGAAACCAGGCCCAAGUGAUCCGGCGAUAGCUCGUGGGAGCGUCGUCGCUUAUGGGACAAAAGGUACUCUAGGGAUAACAGGCUGAUUUCGCCCAAGCGUUCAUAGCGACGGCGAAGUUUGGCACCUCGAUGUCGGCUCAUCACAUCCUGGGGCUGUAGAAGGUCCCAAGGGUUUGGCUGUUCGCCAAUUAAAGUGGUACGCGAGCUGGGUUCAGAACGUCGUGAGACAGUUCGGUCCUCUAUCCUCUGUGGGCGUUGGAAAUUUGAGGGGUUCAUUCCUUAGUACGAGAGGACCGGGAAUGACGUAUCCCUGGUGUUCCGGUUGUCGUGUCAGCGGCAGCGCCGGGUAGCUAAAUACGGAAAGGAUAAGCGCUGAAAGCAUCUAAGCGCCAAGCCUCUCCCAAGAUUAGAUUUCCAUGAGGGACCGGGAAGACGACCCGGUUGAUAGGGCGGGAGUGUAAGCGCAGUAAUGUGUUGAGCUAACCGUUACUAAUAACCCGAAAGUUUGUUCAC